rnacentral:rRNA from 1 species
CUUUACUGUAACUUGAAAUUGAAAUUGGACUUUACUUGCGCAGUAUAGGUGGGAGGCGUUGAGAAUAUUCUUGCGGGAAUAUUGGAGCCAUCAGUGAGAUACCACUCUGGUAAUGUUAGAUUUCUAACUUUGAAUCAUUAUCUGGUCAAAGAACAGUUUCAGGCGGGCAGUUUGACUGGGGCGGUCGCCUCCUAAACGGUAACGGAGGCGCACAAAGGUUUCCUCUGAACGGGUAGAAAUCGUAUCUAGAGUGUAAAGGCAUAAGGAAGCUUGACUGUGAGACCUACAAGUCGAGCAGGGACGAAAGUCGGUCUUAGUGAUCUGACGGUGCUGAGUGGAAAGGCCGUCACUCAACGGAUAAAAGUUA